rnacentral:rRNA from 1 species
GCGGCAGGCCUAAUACAUGCAAGUCGAGCGCGCCCUUCGGGGUGAGCGGCGGACGGGUGAGUAAUGCCUAGGGAACUGCCCAGUCGAGGGGGAUAACAGUUGGAAACGACUGCUAAUACCGCAUACGCCCUACGGGGGAAAAGAGGGGACCUUCGGGCCUUCUGCGAUUGGAUGUACCUAGGUGGGAUUAGCUAGUUGGUGAGGUAAUGGCUCACCAAGGCGACGAUCCCUAGCUGUUCUGAGAGGAUGAUC